UAGGGAACCUUCGGCAAUGGGGGGAACCCUGACCGAGCAACGCCGCGUGAGUGAAGAAGGUUUUCGGAUCGUAAAGCUCUGUUGUUAAGGAAGAACGAGUGUGAGAAUGGAAAGUUCAUGCUGUGACGGUACUUAACCAGAAAGGGACGGCUAACUACGUGCCAGCAGCCGCGGUAAUACGUAGGUCCCGAGCGUUGUCCGGAUUUAUUGGGCGUAAAGCGAGCGCAGGCGGUUAGAAAAGUCUGAAGUGAAAGGCAGUGGCUCAACCAUUGUAGGCUUUGGAAACUGUUUAACUUGAGUGCAGAAGGGGAGAGUGGAAUUCCAUGUGUAGCGGUGAAAUGCGUAGAUAUAUGGAGGAACACCGGUGGCGAAAGCGGCUCUCUGGUCUGUAACUGACGCUGAGGCUCGAAAGCGUGGGGAGCGAACAGG
rnacentral:rRNA from 1 species